UUCGCCUGUCGUUUAUGAGGAUGAGUACCUCCGCAGGAGGUUCGAGCCUCGCGAAGCGAGACAACGUUGCUUCAGCAACGGCCCGUAGGGCGCGCAUCAAUGAUGCGCGUAAUCCUCUCUCGCCGACCA
rnacentral:sRNA from 2 species